AGAGUUGGUCUAGAGGUUGCGGGGUCAUUUGAUUAAUGAUUCCGAGGAAAGUCCGAACUCCCGAAAGACCACACUUGCUGGAUAACGUCCAGUGCGCGUGAGCGUGAGGAUAGUGCCACAGAAAAAUACCGCCUCCUUUUUUCAGUGAUUAGUAAACAGUAACGAAAGUAAAUUCACUGAUAACUGAUAACUGAUUGGGGGUAAGGGUGCAAAGGUGCGGUAAGAGCGCACCAGCAGUAUCGAGAGGUACUGGCUCGGUAAACCCCGGUGGGGAGCAAGGUGGAGGGACAAAGGUUGGUCUUUUUCCUGUCCCGUUUUUAGGAACCGCUUGAGGUAAUUGGUAACAAUUAUCCCAGAUAGAUAACCUCUAUUCCAACAAAGGUAAAAGCAAUUUUACUGCUGUUGGGAAAUACAGAAUUCGGCUUAUGUCUGACUCUCUCC
rnacentral:RNase_P_RNA from 2 species